rnacentral:rRNA from 1 species
AGUGAACGCUGGCGGUAGGCCUAACACAUGCAAGUCGAACGGCAGCACAGUAAGAGCUUGCUCUUACGGGUGGCGAGUGGCGGACGGGUGAGGAAUACAUCGGAAUCUACUUUUUCGUGGGGGAUAACGUAGGGAAACUUACGCUAAUACCGCAUACGACCUACGGGUGAAAGCAGGGGAUCUUCGGACCUUGCGCGAUUGAAUGAGCCGAUGUCGGAUUAGCUAGUUGGCGGGGUAAAGGCCCACCAAGGCGACGAUCCGUAGCUGGUCUGAGAGGAUGAUCGGCACCACUGGAACUGAGACACGGUCCAGACUCCUACGGGAGGCAGCAGUGGGAAAUAUUGGACAAUGGGCGCAAGCCUGAUCCAGCCAUACCGCGUGGGUGAAGAAGGCCUUCGGGUUGUAAAGCCCUUUUGUUGGGAAAGAAAAGCAGCAGGUUAAUACCCCGCUGUUCUGACGGUACCCAAAGAAUAAGCACCGGCUAACUUCGU